rnacentral:rRNA from 1 species
AUUGAACGCUGGCGGAAUGCUUUACACAUGCAAGUCGAACGGCAGCAUAGGUGCUUGCACCUGAUGGCGAGUGGCGAACGGGUGAGUAAUACAUCGGAACGUGCCCAGUCGUGGGGGAUAACGUAGCGAAAGUUACGCUAAUACCGCAUACGAUCUACGGAUGAAAGCGGGGGACCGUAAGGCCUCGCGCGAUUGGAGCGGCCGAUGUUAGAUUAGGUAGUUGGUGAGGUAAAGGCUCACCAAGCCGACGAUCUAUAGCUGGUCUGAGAGGAUGAUCAGCCACACUGGGACUGAGACACGGCCCAGACUCCUACGGGAGGCAGCAGUGGGGAAUUUUGGACAAUGGGCGCAAGCCUGAUCCAGCCAUUCCGCGUGCAGGACGAAGGCCUUCGGGUUGUAAACUGCUUUUGUACAGAACGAAAAGCCUUGGGUUAAUACCCUGGGGUCAUGACGGUACUGUAAGAAUAAGCACCGGCUAACUACGUG